GAAUGAAUGUUGCAUUGUAAUUUGCGUUUAGGUAAAAGUAGGCCGUACAGAAAUUGAUUUCCAUAUGCAAUUUCCCUGUCGCACAGAAUACAAUUUUUAACAAAAAAUAUCAGAAUACAAUCACACAUACCUUACGUAGAUGAUCCAAGCGAAACGAACGGCAAACAUCGACAAGGCAGCGUAAAUCGACGCGUAAACCAGGAGCAAUGUGUGGAACUGUUUAUGGGACCAGAACUAACCAGAAGCAGAAGGAAAUAGCAUAUUAGUGUGUAUUAGGAACUAGGACUUUCAUGCAACUGUUCCACCUGGCUUUUUCACUUAUCAAACGUUUCAAGUUAUGCAUGCUCGUUAAUAAGGCCAAAGACUGAACAUUUCAAUUUCGUUUUAUUUUAAAAUACGUCUUUCGUCGACAGUCUGGUAUAUCGUGUUGAUUUUUAAGUUUCUCAACCAUAGCCUAACUGUGCUUCUCGCAAUGGUGGGAAAGAGUGUAUCGCACGCAUCAAUAAAACACAAUAAAACAGUUUCUCGUCAGACGACGCAACAUGGUAAAGAUAGGUGCCUUUAUAGAUUUGGCCAUUGUAGAAACAUCAUCCAAGUUCUCUCUUACUGCCAGACCGUAAUAGUUCUGUAGGACAUCUAUCGUACCAUCUGUCAGCAUUCCCUUGCCAGACAUUUUUUUCCAUCGCUAAGCUUCACGCCUUUGUUGGUAUUCUUUAACUUCCGCAACCUGCUUCCGACUCGCUUUGAACAUGCCCAAUAGUACAAUCAGCAUAUCUAAUAGCUCAAGAUCGUUCUAUUACGUUGCCUUCCUUGUCUUCAGGAGGAUAUGGAUGCCUCCGCCUCCAGCUCUCUAAUUUCUUUGGGACACAGACACUCCCCUGGCAUGUCCUUGUAUUUGAUAUCCCCGAAAAUCCUAACAACGUCAACUGUUUCCAUACUGUUCGCACUUCCUGUACGGUUGAUCUUACACUGGUGGUUUGCUUUCCACUCUUCGUACCCUGGAUCAUUCUCCCUUUUCUG